GGAUUAGAUACCCUGGUAGUCCAUGCCAUAAACGAUGAUCACUUGGUGUUGGAGGUAUUGACCCCUUCAGUGCCGAAGCUAACGCGUUAAGUGAUCCGCCUGGGGAGUACGGCCGCAAGGUUAAAACUCAAAGAAAUUGACGGGGGCCCGCACAAGCGGUGGAGCAUGUGGUUUAAUUCGAUGCAACGCGAAGAACCUUACCUAGGUUUGACAUGAUUUGGAAGAGUGGCAGAAAUGUCCUCGCCCGCAAGGGCCGAAUCACAGGUGCUGCAUGGCUGUCGUCAGCUCGUGCCG
rnacentral:rRNA from 1 species